AUUGAACGCUUGCGGCAGGCCUAACACAUGCAAGUCGAGCGAGCGGCGGACGGGUGAGUAAUGUAUGGGGACUGCCCGAUAGAGGGGGAUAACUACUGGUAACGGUGGCUAAUACCGCAUACUAUCGGAUAACCCAUAUUGGAUUAGCUAGUAGGUGGUGAAAAGGCUCACCUAGGCGACGAUCUCUAGCUGGUCUGAGAGGAUGAUGAGGCACACUGGGACUGAGACAAGGCCCAGACUCCUACGGAGGUAGCAGUGGGGAAUAUGGCACAAUGGGCGCCAGCCUGAUGAAGCCAUGCGGGGUGUAUGAAGAAGGCCUUAGGGUUGAAAAGUACUUUCAGCGGAGAGGCGUUAGCCGCAGAAGAAGCACCGGCUAACGCCGUGCCAGCAGCCGCAGUAAUUC
rnacentral:rRNA from 1 species